GCGGACGGGUGAGUAAUGCGUAGGAAUCUGCCUGAUAGAGGGGGAUAACCACGGGAAACUGUCGCUAAUACCGCAUCAAGUCUUACGGACGAAAGCAUGGGACCUUAAGGCCUCCCGCUAUCAGAUGCACCUAGGUGGGAUUAGCUAGUUGGUGGGGUAAAGGCUCACCAAGGCGACGAUCCGUAGCUGGUUUGAGAGGAUGAUCAGCCACACUGGAACUGAGACACGGUCCAGACUCCUACGGGAGGCAGCAGUGGGGAAUAUUGGACAAUGGGCGCAAGCCUGAUCCAGCCAUGCCGCGUGUGUGAAGAAGGCCUUAGGGUUGUAAAGCACUUUCAGCGGGGAGGAAGGGGUGUAGGUUAAUACCAUGCAUUUUUGACGUUACCCACAGAAUCAGCACCGGCUAACUUCGUGCCAGCAGCCGCGGUAAUACGAAGGGUGCAAGCGUUAAUCGGAAUUACUGGGCGUAAAGCGCGCGCAGGUGGUUUUUUAAGUCGGAUGUGAAAGCCCCGGGCUCAACCUGGGAAUUGCAUCCUGAUACUGGAAAGCUAGAGUAUGUUAGAGGGGGGUAGGAAUUCCAAGUGUAGCGGUGAAAUGCGUAGAGAUUUGGAAGGAAUCAUCCCAGUGGCGAAAGGCGGCCCCCCCUG
rnacentral:rRNA from 1 species